CCCACGCAGAAGCUCGAGUUAAGAUAAUUACCUCUUCUGAAGAGUCCAUCACGUUUUUUUAAUCCUCCGUGUCCUCCUUGGCUACUAGCAACUGUGUGGCAGAGGGGUGGGGGCACGUGCACAAUUACGGAGC